GCUGGCAUAGUAGUUACUGCUUGGCUGCUAACCAAAAGGUUGGUGGUUCGAACCCACCAGCA
rnacentral:tRNA from 1 species